UGGUCUAGUGGGUAAGACACCAGGCUAGAAACCAGGAAAUUGUGAGUUCUAGUCCCAC
rnacentral:tRNA from 1 species